rnacentral:rRNA from 1 species
UACGUAGGGCGCAAGCGUUAUCCGGAAUUAUUGGGCGUAAAGAGCUCGUAGGCGGUUUGUCGCGUCUGCCGUGAAAGUCCGGGGCUCAACUCCGGAUCUGCGGUGGGUACGGGCAGACUAGAGUGAUGUAGGGGAGGCUGGAAUUCCUGGUGUAGCGGUGAAAUGCGCAGAUAUCAGGAGGAACACCGAUGGCGAAGGCAGGUCUCUGGGCAUUAACUGACGCUGAGGAGCGAAAGCGUGGGGAGCGAACAGG